rnacentral:misc_RNA from 1 species
AAGUCGUAACAAGGUUUCCGUAGGUGAACCUGCGGAAGGAUCAUUAUCGAACUUUGAGCAAGGGGAACACUUUGAGCCCAGACUGUCGCUGGCUUUCAUUAGCAUGUGCACGUCUGCAAUCGACCUCGACCCCUCGCUCUUUCUCUCACACCUGUGCACCUACCGUAGGUCCUCUCUAAAGUGGAUCUACGUUUUCCUCAUCACACCCAUCGCAUGUCCAUAGAAUGUAAAUGACUACGGUCGAUAAAUAAAUACAACUUUCAGCAACGGAUCUCUUGGCUCUC